rnacentral:tRNA from 1 species
GGGAAUGUAGCUCAGUGGUAGAGCAUUUGCCUAGCAUGCUGAAGACCUGGGUUCAAUCUCCAGUACCCCCC